rnacentral:rRNA from 1 species
UACGUAGGGCGCAAGCGUUAUCCGGAAUUAUUGGGCGUAAAGAGCUCGUAGGCGGUUUGUCGCGUCUGCCGUGAAAGUCCGGGGCUCAACUCCGGAUCUGCGGUGGGUACGGGCAGACUAGAGUGAUGUAGGGGGAGACUGGAAUUCCUGGCGUAGCGGUGAAAAUGCGCAGAUAUCAGGAGGAACACCGAUGGCGAAGGCAGGUCUCUGGGCCAUUACUGACACUGAGAAGCGAAA